rnacentral:rRNA from 1 species
GACGAACGCUGGCGGCGUGCCUAAUACAUGCAAGUAGAACGCUGAAACUUGGUGCUUGCUCCGAGCGGAUGAGUUGCGAACGGGUGAGUAACGCGUAGGUAACCUGCCUGGUAGCGGGGGAUAACUAUUGGAAACGAUAGCUAAUACCGCAUAAGAGUAGAUGUUGCAUGACAUUUUCUUAAAAGGUGCAAUUGCACCACUACCAGAUGGACCUGCGUUGUAUUUGCUAGUUGGUUGGGUAACGGCCCAACAAGGCGAAGGUACAUAGCCCGACUGAGAGGGGGGUCGGCCCGCAUGGGAAUGGGGCAACGCCCCGACUCCCUAGGGGGGCAGCCGUAGGGAAUCUUCGGCAAUGGGCGGAAGUCUUACCGGGGAACGCCGCGUGGGUGAAGGAGGGUUUCGGGUCGUAAAGCUCUGUUGUAAGAGAAGAACGAGUGUGAGAGUGGAAAGUUCACACUGUGACGGUAUCUUACCAGAAAGGGACGGCUAACUACGUG